GCCGGGCGUGGUGGCGCGCACCUGUAAUCCCAGCUACUCAGGGGGCUGAGGCAGGAGAAUUGCUUGAACCCGGGAGGUGGAGAUUGCAGUGAGCCAAGAUCGUGCCACUGCACUCCAGCCUGGGUGAUAGAGCGAGACUCUGUCUCAA
rnacentral:SRP_RNA from 2 species